rnacentral:miRNA from 1 species
GUUUUAUUUUACCACUUAC